rnacentral:rRNA from 1 species
CCUACGGGUGACAGCAGUGGGGAAUAUUGGGCAAUGGGCGCAAGCCUGACCCAGCAACGCCGCGUGAAGGAAGAAGGCUUUCGGGUUGUAAACUUCUUUUCUCAGGGACGAAGCAAGUGACGGUACCUGAGGAAUAAGCCACGGCUAACUACGUGCCAGCAGCCGCGGGAAUACGUAGGUGGCAAGCGUUAUCCGGAUUUACUGGGUGUAAAGGGCGUGUAGGCGGGACUGCAAGUCAGAUGUGAAAUCCUGCGGCUUAACCGCAGAACUGCAUUUGAAACUGUUGAUCUUGAGUACUGGAGAGGCAGACGGAAUUCCUAGUGUAGCGGUGAAAUGCGUAGAUAUUAGGAGGAACACCAGUGGCGAAGGCGGUCUGCUGGACAGCAACUGACGGUGAGGCGCGAAAGCGUGGGGAGCAAACAGGAUUAGAUACCCGGGUAGUC